rnacentral:lncRNA from 1 species
CCAGCCGUGGUUAGUGGAAACUUCGCUGAUAACUGGAUCUACUGGGUUGGCCCAUUGAUUGGAGGAGGUUUGGCCGGGCUCAUUUAUGGAGAUGUCUUCAUUGGUUCCUAUGCCGCUGUCCCAGCCUCUGAAACCUAUCCUUAAAAAACAUCCCUUAUUGUUCUCGUUUGUUCCUUCAAGCUUUUUCUCUUUCUUCAACGUUUGCUGUCCUGUACCUUCAAUUUUCCUUUCACCGCUUGUAAUAAUUCUGUAAAUUUUAAAUUGAAGUCGAAGCAUGCCUUGUUGGAACUCCCGUUAUUUUUCCGUUUGCAUCCUAACGAUAAUAAUAACCGCGACCG